rnacentral:rRNA from 1 species
UACGGAGGGAGCUAGCGUUGUUCGGAUAUACUGGGCGUAAAGCGCACGUAGGCGGCGCCGUAAGUCAGGGGUGAAAUCCCGGAGCUCAACUCCGGAACUGCCCUUGAAACUGCAGUGCUAGAAUUCUGGAGAGGCGAGUGGAAUUCCGAGUGUAGAGGUGAAAUUCGUAGAUAUUCGGAAGAACACCAGUGGCGAAGGCGACUCGCUGGACAGACAUUGACGCUGAGGUGCGAAAGCGUGGGGAGCAAACGGG